AGAGCGCGGGCAGCAGGGUGGGGCAAGCGGCAGAGGCACGGAGGACGUGGCUGGGCGCCCCGGGCACGAGCAGGACCCGAGGCCAGGGGCCAGGGGCCCAGAAGGUGAGGGCACUCCGGAUGGGAGUAGGGUGAGCCAUGGGGGUGGGCAGGCAGUGCAACCUGGUUGGGAACAGGCCUCAUGGGAGACGCUGGCUGGCGGAAGAACCAUGGCAGUACCAGGCCGUCAGCAUGCAGCGUGUCUUGCCCUCCCCAAGCCGGAGGUUGCAGCCUGUGUGUGUGGGGGGAGCGUGAAUGCGUGUGCAUGGGGCCUCUUGAGGAGCAGCAGCCACGGAGUGGAGCCUCCGCUGCAGGGCCAGCCGCCUUAGCCCAGCCCAAGAAGGCCAAGCUAGGCAGGCGGGGCCCAGGGCUGUCAAGGAGAAAAACAUCCCAAGGCCUGCAAAUUGCUGCUCUCAGCUCCCCCCCCCCUUCUCCUGCUGGGGGUGAAAAAAAAAAAAGCAGUGCUUCCUCUAGAGGCGGAUGCAAACGGAUGCAGAAUUUUAACCAUCUCCUGCAUCAACCAGGCCUUCCCCAAGCAAAGUUUGCUGGGAACUAGGCAGAGGCACUAUGGGAACGGGGUUGUGGGGAACCCACAUGCCUUUUCUGUGAGAUACUGGGAAGCCAAAGGCUUCUUCAGCAUCCCUUCCAGAGCCAGGGUCUGGAGCACCCGCUGAGGGUGUGGAUUUGGGGGGCAUACUGUCUGGUUCCUGCACAGGCCUGGUGCAUCAUGGGUGGUGGCAGGGUGCCAGUCAUUGGCCCUGUUAUUACCAGGCCUGGGCUUUGCUCUUGGGGUUGAAGGUGUUGACCAGCUCCUCUUGGAAAUCGGAUGGAAAGUCGGAGGUCUCAGUUCCCACUGACUUGGGCCCUCGCUGGGAUACUGGGUGUUUCUCCUGGCUGAUUUGUGUGUAUUAAAAAUCCUCUGGAAUGCUUGCUGGUGGCUGGUGGGGGCCUCCCCCAUUGUCUAUCUAGGGAGAAAGGGAAUAAGUUCUAGGGAACGGUGGUCAGAGGAAAGUGAUACCUGACUGGCAAGCUAUAGGGAUUACAGCUGCAAGUGUCAGGAGCUCCCAGGGUGGCUUGGGUCCCUCGUUUUUUUUUUUUUUUUUUCAUUUCAACUCCUUCUAAAAUUAAAAGAAAAAAAAUGGAUAUGAAAUAAUGAACGUGUAAUAUUGAGGCCA
rnacentral:lncRNA from 1 species